rnacentral:misc_RNA from 1 species
GAUGAAGAACGCAGCGAAAUGCGAUAAGUAGUGUGAAUUGCAGAAUUCAGUGAAUCAUCGAAUCUUUGAACGCACAUUGCGCCCCUUGGUAUCCCGAGGGGCAUGCCUGUUCGAGCGUCAUUUCACCACUCAAGCCUGGCUUGGUGUUGGGCGACGUCCCCUUUAGGGACGCGCCUCGAAACGCUCGGCGGCGUGGCACCGGCUUUAAGCGUAGCAGAAUCUUUCGCUUUGGAAGUCGGGGCCCCGCCUGCCGGAAUACCUACUCGUAAGGUUGACCUCGGAUCAGGCAGGGAUACCCGCUGAACUUAAGCAUAUCAAUAAGCGAGGA